rnacentral:rRNA from 1 species
CACCGCGGUCAUACGAUUAACCCAGAUUAAUAGGCCCACGGCGUAAAACGUGUCAAGGAUUACAAAAUACUAAAGUUAAAAUUUAACUAGGCCGUAAAAAGCUACUGUUAAUAUAAAAUAUACCACGAAAGUGACCUUACUAUUUCCGACUACACGACAGCUGAGGCC